rnacentral:lncRNA from 1 species
GCCAUUUGAGGUGCACAAUCCUACAACUGAACUUUCCACUGCAAGUCAUGAAUUAUGUUUGUGGGAUAAGAUAAUUCAAUUAGAAAAUCAAGCCCAAACUCUUGAGUCUCCUACACAGCCAUCUCCAACGAUCCUAGAACCUACUGAAGUAAACACAAACCUGACAUUCAGCACUGCCACUACAUCCAAUUCGCCUGAAGUCGCUACCACUGAACCUCCUGAACACACAUUACAAGUGGCUAAUACUGUGAGAGUGCAAACCCAGGAACCAAGCAGAGCAGACGCCUCCACCUCCACAAACAGAUCAAAUAACUCUGAAAAUGUGCUAGCUGAUAGGGAGACAGACCAGGUGGACGACAUGACCAGCUUCCUUAAUUUCAUCUCACAUGUACCAGUUGCUCCCAUUUUGCACACACCACCGAGAGUAAAUCCCAUCCAGCAAGAAAGCCAUGGAAACAUUCCAGCUCCUAGCCACAGGAAGAGCUCACGCCUAGCAGACAAAGCUAAGCUACACUCAGGCAAAGAUAGCAUUCAGCUUGCACAGAGUAUUCUGAUUAGCAAAUUGGGGGAAUUAUCACCAAAAGCACCGCACCAAGAUAAACCUGACUUUGAUAAUUUUACGCAGCAUCUCCCGAAGCCUUUGACAAGCAUGAAGAUGGCUGCGAUCCAGACUCUGGUGGAGCAAGGAAACAAGCCUAGGAGCAAGAAGAAAGGCAAGGUGACACCGGUGCCUGUAGAGACAAUGGAGGCAUGACCAUCGCCUCCCAGUCUCGACCUCCCAGUCUCUUAGUCGUUAUAUUUUUAUUAGCAUGUUUAAAUUGAAAACUCAGAACUUCCCUCGGUGUGUAAUUUUAAUGGGGUCCUGCGGCUUCAGCGGUUUUUGGGUCACGACGG